rnacentral:rRNA from 1 species
GAUGAACGCUGGCGGCGUGCUUAACACAUGCAAGUCGAACGAUGAAGCCCACUUGUGGGUGGAUUAGUGGCGAACGGGUGAGUAACACGUGAGUAACCUGCCCUUGACUCUGGGAUACGCCUGGGAAACUGGGUCUAAUACCGGAUAUGACCUUCCAUCGCAUGGUGGUUGGUGGAAAGCUUUUGUGGUUUUGGAUGGACUCGCGGCCUAUCAGCUUGUUGGUGGGGUAAUGGCCUACCAAGGCGACGACGGGUAGCCGGCCUGAGAGGGUGACCGGCCACACUGGGACUGAGACACGGGCCAGACUCCUACGGGAGGCAGCAGUGGGGAAUAUUGCACAAUGGGCGGAAGCCUGAUGCAGCGACGCCGCGUGAGGGAUGACGGCCUUCGGGUUGUAAACCUCUUUCAGUAGGGAAGAAGCGAGAGUGACGGUACCUGCAGAAGAAGCGCCGGCUAACUACGUGCCAGCCGCCGCGGUAAGAC